AUGUUACUCCCUCCGUUCGGAAACACUUGUCGUUAAAAUGGAUAUAAAUGGAUGUAUCUAGAAUUAAAAUACAUCUAGAUACAUCCAUUUCUUGGACAAGUAUUUUCCGACGGAGGGAGUACAUG
rfam:Triticum aestivum genome assembly, contig: Triticum_aestivum_CS42_TGACv1_scaffold_064236_1DL